GGAAAAGGUCCCCGCCGGAACCGGAAAUACCCUCCCGUUCGAGCAAAAAUGGCGGCCCCCGUUAUUCACUCCUGUUUAAGAUGGCGGCGCCACGUAAGUCAAAAGGCGAGAUGAAAUGGCAAAACUUCACGGUCACCUCCGCCAUGCAACAUAAUUUGGCAGUGCCAAUGCCAAGUCAUUCUGAAACCAACUCCACCAGGUGUUUAAAAAGGCCCCUCAAACAUCCACUGAGGCGUGAUGUAUAAGAAGACGAAGAGGGGACGGGCACAGACAGCAUGUUCCCACAGGGAACGUCCGGCGCCUUCCCUGCCCCCACGUGGCACAGCGCGAGCCCUGCCUUUUCCGCUUGGUGGUCUGGAGGGCCAGGCUGAGGGACCUCAAUUUCGAGGUGAGAACUGCGAGUAACGAGGGCAACUCCUCCCUGGAGAGUUUUUUGCUUUGAGGGAAUUGGCUGAGGCACUCCCUGUCCGGAAGGACCUAGUCCGGGCAGAAGUAAACACAGGAACAGGUUACGGAGCGGAAAACCGGGGAGGAACGAACAAUCGGCCCGUGGGCUGCACGUCCGUCCCCGGCUCCCACCUGGGCAGGAGCGCGGAGAGCCGACGCAGAGACUGAGAGACCCCGAGAGCAAAGGCCUCCGGGUUCUGACUUAGGGGUCUCGAGUGAAAGCGGGCUCUGAGCCUCACCGCCUCUCAGGCAGGUCUGCGGGUCUGGGGAGUCCAGGCGUGCCCCUAAGGAGGUUCCCCCUGCCUGGGACACCGUGGAUCAGGGUUCCCAGGUUGCCUACCGGCCUCCUAUUUAGUCGCAUGGUACGUGAGUAUGUAGUGCCUCCUUGAUAACUGAGAGACCGUUAUCAAGCAGCUGGCAGGCAGCGCUCCUGUCACAUAUUUUUUGAAGGGGGAGAGUCGGACCAGGGUGGUACCAUUCGCUAUCAUCUAAGCAAAAUAAGGGGGGGGGGAUUAUACAUAAUAAGUAUCGUAUUUAUUUUCUGUUUGUAACAUGUAUUAAUUUUAGUUUCAUAUCUGUGAGAUGAGGUUGGAAAUAAUAGUACCCACCCAAAAUGGUGUUGAAAAGAGUAAAUGAGUUAUGAUAGGUAAAGGGCCCAGAACAAUGCUUGGCAGAAUAAAUGCAGGCAAACUUAGCACCUCUUGGGUACCAGGCCCUGUUUUAGGUCUUGAGGGAUACAGCUGUGAGCAAGAGGGGGGUGAGAGGACCAGGUUUUUUUUGGAGUUUACAUUUGAUGGAGUGAGGGGGAAGGAAAUUGGAGCAAAGAGAGGAAGAAGGAGACAGCCCUGUGGAUACAUGGGAGGAUAAGGAUAAGGGGCAGGGAUGCUCAGUGCAAAACGUCCUGGAGGUGUUGGAAGUGCUGAAAACCGAACACUGAGAUAGACAGACGUGAGGGGCAGCUGACAGGGCCAGCAGGCUGGGGGAAAGAACAUGGCUCCUGAGGGUGGUUGCUGUUCUGACUAGGCUUCAAGGGCUCCAGUUGCGAAGUCAUUUAAAUGCCUCUGUAGCACCCCCAAUUAGCUGUCUUUUUCUUCUAACACUAAACUCGAAGUCGACCCCAACCCUGACCUGUUUUGGUCAUGGGAGACCCUUACUUUUUCACCCACACCAGUAUCCAGUUCACUGUUCAUAGCUCGGGUGGUGCCAGUGCCCUGGGCGGUUGGGACAAAUGGAGAGGUGAGAGAUUUCCACGCUGUGGAAAUGCACAGAGCAAACAGUCCCCUGUGUUGGCCUGUACAUGCAGAGGAUUUCCUCUCAGUUCAAGAAUACGCAUUCCUUCAUCUCCUGCCUUCACCCAAGAGAUCCUGGGUUAGUCAUAUUAUAUUUACUCCUCUCGAGAAAUCUCAUUUGGCUCUCUGUAUUCUUGAAUUUUGCUAAGGAGCCCCUGUGGAAUCAACAUCUCUGAAAGAGGGCCAGGAGGACAGGUUUAAAACAAGCCUCCCAGGGGAUCCCUGGGUGGUGCAGAGGUUUGGCGCCUGCCUUUGGCCCAGGGCGCGAUCCUGGAGACCCAGGAUUGAGUCCCAAGUCAGGCUCCCGGUGCAUGGGGCCUGCUUCUCCCUCUGUCUGUGUCUCUGCCCCACCCCCCAUGACUGUCAUUCAUAACUAACUAACUAACUAACUAAAUAAAUAAAUAACAACAAGCCUCCCAGGUCUCUCACGCAUGCUCAAGGACACGACCUUUCGUCACCACCAGGCCCCUUUCCAGAAGGGGGCCGUUCCUCGGCUAGCCUCAUCCUCCCCAGGCUCACCUCUGCGCAGCCCUUUCCUGGAGUCCUCUGGCCACAGAGACCAAGAUUUCUGUAGGUGUCUUUGGCCUCCCGCGAUUCCAUGGGCGUCUCCCUGUACCGGCCCCUGGCAGGGCCCCCUCCUGUGGGGCCAAGGGGGGGAUUUCGGGUUUUCCCCUGGAGCCCACCAAUACCCAUCUGGCAAUGUCAGCAGAGGAGAGGGAGAAAUGGAAUAUAGUGGACUUCCCAGAUGACCAGACUGUAGGAUUUGGGCUUUUCCACCUCGGAGUUUUUCUCCAAUCACCACCACCUGGUCUCUCCUCUCUUGGAGAAGAUUCUGGCAAGCCACAAAACCACUGAGGGGUAUUCAUGAAUUGAGGGAGGCCUGACCCUGACUCUGGGGACACUUUGGGUAUAGCUAGGGGCAGGGGUGGCAUGUAGCAGCAGACUUUCCCUUUCAACCCAAGCUGGAGUUGAGCCCCAUACAUGCCUGCUUCAGUUUGGGGCCCCAAGGCUCCCUGCUAGGCAUGUGGGCCCACCUGGACUCCUCAAGCCCGGCCCUUUCCAGGGGGCUGACUUCUCUUGGCUGCUAGACGCAUCCUAAGAAUAAGCCUGUGCUUCCCACAGUAGUCUGCUGCCUGCCCAAGCAGGCCUGGGUCCGGCCUUUGGGCCUUUUCAUCCUGGGUCUUUGAUAUUUCCCUCUAGGAGGUAGAAAUCUGUUGGAGGGCUCCACCUGACCUUGGGUGAAAUUGGGGAAAGUUACUCUGCAGAGCCUUCUUCUGUUCCCCAGGCCACCCCUCUCGUAUGUUCCCCACCCACUGGUCCCAUGCCCUGGGCUGCCUGUCCUCUCCUCUGUCCCCACUGGCAGCCUGUCCUCUCCCAUGUCCCCACUGGCAGCACUUCCAUUCCCACACAAGGUAAACAUCCCAAAAAAGAAUUUGGAGAUUCUCUUCUAAGGAAGUCUGUCUCACCAUUCCUUUUCUGCUGGGAAUCCCUAAGAUCAGCACAGCGGGGAGAAGCCCCUCUGGUUUCCCUGCUAGAGGCCCAUGACCUCUCUUCUAGGAACAGAGGCCUCUGUUCCCUCCUGCCAGCAUCCAGGAGGUGAGACAGGUCUUCCCUUGAAUGAAGUGAUGAGUACUGUUGUGGGUGAUAGGUGAGGGGCUGAGGGAAAAGGUUGUGGUCAAGACUACAGGGCCUCUGUGAGCUAAAGCAAGUGUCUUCCCUUCAUUUUGCUGUUCCUCUGUAGAUUCAGUAUGGUUGGCACCAUACUCCUUUUAUGGCUAUGCUGGCUGUCCCCAUUCCUCCAUCAGUUCUCUCCCACAGAGGAGGCCCACUAUAUCCCACCCCCACUUUCCUUAGUUAACUAAGCUUCCUUAGGUCUCAAUUCAGGUUGUACCUCAGAGAAACCCUCUGACUCUCAAGUCUGGGUUAGGCUCCUUGUUUCACGCCCUGAUUGUGUGGUGUGUGGGGCCUCCACAGCACUUAACUCAAUCUGCCCUUAUUUGAAUCUGUCAGGGCUUUACUCAGUGCCCUAAGGUCAGGGACUGGUCUGUUUUGUCUCAUGUGCUGUUGCUGGUACAGGGUUUGGUUGUGGAAGAUUCUAACCUUGGUCACCAGCCUCAUAGGCUGAAUAGUUAAAAGCAAGUAUUUAAAGGGUGUUCCAGGUGGAGAGAUCACCAUGGGGAAGAGGUAUUAGAGCAGUAGAGGUUUGGGGGAUCAUUUCAAAUGGGAAGGUAGGAGAGUGAAACCCAAGGUGUUCAGGGAGCCCCUAUUGGGAAGGAGUUGUUUGCUGAAGAAUUUUGUCCUGAAGCCUAGGACUGCCUCGUUAGUAUUAUCUAAUCCCUCUCCUGCCUAGACUUGAUUUUGCUGACAGUCAUUCGUUGUCAGUAGAAGGUAGGUUGGAGGAGUAAGACAAGAAAUAAGAGGAAUUCAGAAGCUGGACAGGAGGGUCUGUAGGAUGGUCAUGAGAGUCUUACAAAAGGAGGGACUGAGGACUUCCCAAUGGCCUUGAGUGAGGGAUUCAGCUUCUCCUCUAAUCUAUUUCUAUCCUUCCUACCAUACCUCUUUCACUCCAGUAUCUAGAAUUGGGCUCUAAUUAUAGAAACUAUUUCAUGAUUUAGGCCUAGAGAAUUAAGCUCAAAAAGGUUGGAAGGAAACAUAGAAAGUUCUGUUCUUCUUGUAGGUCCUGUUCCAUUAUCCUGGUGAGGUGGGAUAUGAUAUUAAAUCAAUGCCAGAAACAGAUGUUACAAAGAAAUCACAUAUCGUUUACGUUUCUUAGUAAAUAUUUAGUGUCCAUUUUAGGCAGGAAUCUGCAGUCAGUCAGAUUAACAGUCCCCUGGAAAACUGCUAAGUUUUGUUAGCAGUUGGGUUUUCUGUUGGGUUUUCCCUGGGAGAUGGACUGUAGGAUUCCCUCGGGCCUUCAGUGCUUCAGCAGAUAUGCAGUCGAAGAUUGUGGAGGUGGGCAUGAUCCAGGGAGGUAUGGACCGUAGUCCAGGUAGAAUUAUAAGAUAUGUUAGGAGAAUGCAAGCCUCUGGCUCGUUAAAGGAUUUAAAACAGCAUUAGGUGGUAGGGAGAAACGUGACACAAGGUGCCUUUUUUCAACUUUUUACCUGGAAGAGAAUUUGAUACAUGUUCUAUUGAUAGAACAUAUUCUAAUAUGUUGAAAUGGAACUAUGAGGUUGGCCAGUUUACCACAAGAUAAGAGGGCUGAAGAGGAAAUAAUCCUUCCUGCUCAUACUCAGGUUAAAUAGCCAGAGCUUGUUGAGAAAUUCCGUCCUUUGGUAGAGGAGGAGAGGAUUCUAUGUACUUAGGAAAUGGCAGAUUAAAAGGGGGUGUGACCUCUAGGGAUCCUCUUCCAGGUGACCUUGGUCCUUCAUCUUUGUGGGGCCCUGCUGGGUACUAAGUGGAAUUGUCAAUCAGAAGUCUCUGACCAACUCUGCAUCUGAGUCCUUUAGGAUGUGGUAAAAGAUUAUGAAGGCCUAAGCAUGAACUUCAGUAGCUACGGAAGAAUAAGCCCCUUCCUGUUUGUUAAGGCUAUUUCUAGUUCAAAUCUAUUUAAGGCCAUUUUCUUCCUCCUUUGGGAGGGAUAGAGGUGGGAGAAGAGUAGUAACUUAGAGAGCCAAGAGAGCCAUUUUCUUCCUUUGCUCGUCUACAGUCACAUCUCUUACUACAAUUCAUAUGCUUAGAUGAGCUGUUUCCCCAUACCCAGUGUUCUCAUUCUGUACUUCUGAGGACUCUAGUUUGUGGGCAAAGACUGUAUCAUUAAAAGUUAAGUUUGUCACCACUUUUAGCUCUCACAGUCUCCUCCUUUUCAGCCCUGUUAUUCCUACAACCUCUCACUUUCUCUUUUCUCAUUAUCACUGCUAGCAAACUGCUUUCCUUUCUAGGACUCCAUGAGCUCUCUACCACCACCCUCUGUCAGGAUUUAGGUGUGAGAGGAGAAAGGGAAGAACCCACUAACCUACUUUAGUGCUAGAUUUUCCCCCAAAUCCCAUUGUCAAAAAGCCAGGAACCAAAUAACUAAUUGUUUAUACUUAUAUUCCUCCUAUUUUGAGGCCCCAGCCUGGCUCUUUUUCUGGGAAGAGGGUAAUGCAGCUUGUUUUUUUAGCUUUUUCCUAUUAGAAUUCUCCCCUAUCAUAUUUCCCACAUGUGAUCCACAUGAAUCACAAGUAGAGCUAGUUCAAGACUGUUUUAGUCAGAUUUUUAAAAAAAAUACAAGAAGGCCUUCUUUUAAAUAUUUUCUUCUAUGCCUAAAAAUACCACCUUUGAGCUUACCUCUCUUUUUUUUAAAGAUUUUAUUUAUUCAUGAGAGAGAGAGGAGAGAGAGAGAGGCAGAGACACAGGCAGAGGGAGAAGCAGGCCCCAUGCAGGGAGCCCGACAUGGGACUGGAUCCUGGAACUCCAGGAUCACGCCCUGGACUGAAGGCAGGCACUAAACUGCAGAGCCACCCAGGGAUCCCAGAGCCUACCUCUCUUGAUUGGGAAAAGAGAGUUGUCUCAUUGCUUUUUCAUUUUCCCCUUCAGACUUUGUUCUACUCCUGGGAAUCCUAGAAAGGAUCAGAAUUCAACCUGCCUUGUUUCUAUGCAACUGUACAAUUAAAUGUGAUUUGACAGCCACCAGUCAUAUAUGGCUAUUUCAAAUUAAUUAAAAUUAAAUACAAUGAAAAAUUCAGUUCCAUAUUGCAUUAGGCAUAUUUCAAGAGCUCAAGCCAUAUGUAGCUAGUGGUACCUACUAUAUCAAACAGAAGAUUUAGAACACUUCCGUUGUUGCAAAGUCCUUUUAGACCUGGCAUGGCAGGCUGUCUUGUGUCCCCCUUUUUGUUAUCCUAUUUUAUCAGUCAAUAAAUGUUUGUAAUAACUUCACUGUUACAGGGUAACUUUCAGAGUGGGUCAGGGAUUGAGGAUGGGAAAUAGCAUAGAAUCUGUAGGUCCUGUAAAGGUUUCUGGAGGCAUGGCAUAGAGGCCAGUGGCAGAGGAGACUUAGGUUUCAAGGAAGUGCUUUAGGGGCUGAUGUUAUAUGUAUUAACCCAGGACUACCCCACUCUAACAGGAGCAGACAGGCUCUGGUUUUAUAAGUUUUGCAUAAUGCUUAAAAACCAAAGCAAAAAAAAAUAACUGCUCUAUGACCCUGCUGGAACUGAUGCUUGCUGAUUUCCUUUUCUUACUCAUCAUUCAUUUCUAGAUCUUCAUUUCAUAUACUGCUUUAUCUGUCAUAGUCCUUUUCCCCCAAAUGGCAGUGACAGGCAGCUCUGGUUUAAAAAAAGGUUUGCUGACUCUGACACCUGCCUGCCAAGAGCUCAGAGAAGUAGGAGUCCUAUCAAUUAAUCCAUUUACUAAGACUGCAUUUAAUAAGGUUCUAGCUAGGUGGAGCUAUUCUUCCAUUGAACACUUUUAAACACCUAGGUCUCAGUCACUGGCUAUAGGGCAUAAGUAAAGCUGGUAAUGGCACAUCUGUGGAUUUGACCACUUACCCUGAGUCUAGACUAAUGAUUCUCAAACAUGGGUGAUUUUGCUCCUCUCAACCCUCUCCACAAGACAUCUGGAAAUGUUGGGAGACGUUUGUGGUUUUCACAGCUGGUGGAGAGGUGCUACUUACAUCUGACUUCCAUCUUACUCUAUCCAAGGAUGCUGUGAGCCAUCCUGCAAUGCACAGGAUGCCCCCCCCCCACCCCCUGCAAAGGAUUACCUUACUCAAAAUGUCAGUAGUGCUGAGGCUGAAAAACACUGGUCUAGACUACAGCAUGGAAGUUCUUAAAGCCAAGAGUACUCAUAAGGUCCAGGCUCAGUGAGAUAAUAAUUAGGGCCAGCAAAUGUCUGUUAAAUUGAGAAGGAAGAAAAUUAGCAAUCAGUGGAACUGUGGCCUCCAUAAAACCGAAGGGCAGGUAUAAUUGGAGUGUGUUUGACUACACUAGAAGGCUAAGAGCUAAGGUCAUAGUGCAAUUGGAGGUGAGGAUUUCAGACGUGUAGCAAGUCUGUGUAAAGAUGAGGUCCCAGGGAUCCCUGGGUGGCACAGCGGUUUGGCGCCUGCCUUUGGCCCAGGGCGCGAUCCUGGAGACCCGGGAUCGAAUCCCACAUCGGGCUCCCGGUGCAUGGAGCCUGCUUCUCCCUCUGCCUAUGUCUCUGCCUCUCUCUCUCUCACUGUGUGCCUAUCAUAAAAAAAUAAAAAAAAAAUAAGAAAAAAAAGAUGAGGUCCCAGGUACACCCACAGGAACAGCGAGUAGCAAGUUUAAACACUCUGACUUGUGAUACAGCAGUCAACAGCUGAACCUAGUAGGAAAAACAUUCAAUAAACAUUAGAAUCUGGUGAAUGUGGAUAUACCAGUUUUUCUCAAUGUUUCUGUAACGCAUACCUCUACUUUUCAUACACCUAAAAAUCUCACAUUCUGUCACCUUCAGUGUUAUUUAAAAUUUCACAAUUAAGUAUCAUGACUAGAAAUCAAAGCAAUGAUAAUUUUGGAAGGCAAAAUUUAUUCAGAAGAUGUGAUAACCAUGUUACUGUUAAGCUUUAACUUUUCUUUCCUGGGUAGUAUAGAAGAUGUAACAAAACACAAGUGGCUUUAACAAUAAUCUUGUAUUGUUUUCUCCCCGCAGCUAGAUAUAUACCCCCCCAUGAGAGCUUUUAAGAUGUAAAGAGAAAAUGGAAUAAACUCUUCUCAUCUGUUUAGACAUUUUACAUCCCAGUUUCUCUAUAGAGUACUUAUAUGGAAGUUUCUUGUCAAAACAAUCAGACUUUGAAUUCCACAUACUCCUCUUGAAAUUCUUUAAGUGAGAACAAAAUAUCAAUGAAAACAUUCUUUCUUAAAACACCACAAGUAGGUUUUAAGAACAGUAACCCAAAAUAGCUCUGGCUAUUUAAGGGUUUUUUUUUUUUUUUUUUUGCAAUAACAUUUAUGAAUCUAGUCCUUGAAAGAUUGGCCAAGCAAAUUAGACAUAUUUAGUAUGAGUUUGCUAUGUGUAGCUGGAUUUCUGGCAAAUCUUGCUUAAAGUUUUUCGUAACAAGCAGUGAUGUUGGUGCCUGCUUUUUGACAUUUCAUGGUCAUGGUAUCUUAAGCUUCAAUGCAUUAAAUUCUGCUGAGUUUUAAUUUUUGAAAUUUUAAAGUAUAGAUUCUCUUUAGAUGAUGUUCUAAAAUCAGAGGGUUAUUUUGUCAUUGGCGUUCCAAAAUCAGUUCUGUCCAUAAAUUCAGCUGAAUACAGUUCUUUGACAACCAAGGAACCUCAGUUUGUAGGAGAAAAUACUCUCAAAGGCAUUCUAAACUGAUCUUCAAAAAUCAAGGCAAACUGGGAUCAAACCAGGGUUACGCUGACAGCAAGGUGAGGAGUUCCAGUAGAUUACUGGCCUAUUGUUGGAAGUUGAUGCUUGGUGGUGAUGGCUACAGUACAACUUAAAUACAGUUUUCUUCAGUUUCUUUGCCAAAAACCAAGGUCGAAAGCAUUCCACUGCUGUAGCACUACCAAUGUAUACCUUUUUCCCUCCAUCAGUUCAUUUGCUAUAGCUUCAAAAAUACUGUCUUUAGUGAAUAAGUAUUAGGCUUAUGAAACCAGCACACUCACAGUUUUUAAAGCCUAUUUCAAACAUAAGCAAAGCACAUUUUUAUCAGGAUAUUCUUCUCAACUAAGCAAAGAAGGAUGAGCUAAUGUUUUUAAAAUCUGAGUUUUCAUAUACUCAGUCAUUAAUUCAGAGUUAAGACUACAGGAGUAGAUGAACAAAGUCUGGAAUUCCUCAAUUUGCUCUCAACAUUGUGGCGGCACUUGGAAUGCAACACUUCGCGUUUCUCCAUUUUUUUCUCCCUUGCAGUUAGAAGGGCUAUUUAAUAUUAUGCUUUCAUAGCCUUUGAAGAUUGCUGUUAGUAUUCCAAUACUGUCCAGUCUUAAAGCUGCAGAGAAUUGUGCUUUGCAGAAUAUGCCACUGUUUUUAUGUCAUAAAUUUAACAGUGUUUGGCAUGGUGUCACUGCCCAACAUUUUCAGGUAACUCAAAUGAAGAAGUUGACCCUAUCUUCUGCAUCAUAAUGUGAAUAUAUAUUUGAUAAAAGCCUUAACAAUUUUUUUUUUUUGGUUGCCAUCUUUAGCUACCUCAAAGGAGAAAACAGAAAAAGGAGGAGUAUUGAUUAUGGAAGCAUCUGGUCCUUCUUGCCAAACGAUGAAUGAUUUUAUUGGUGGCAGAGAAGUACAGGCAUCCAGUUAUGCCUGUGCCCCAAGAAGUGAAAUCGUUGUUCAUUUAUUUUUUAUACACCCAUCUGCUGCCUAAAACCUGACACCAUUUAAUGGUGUCCUUGGUCAAAUCUAAAUGAUCUUACUUUCAUAAUCCUCUGAUUCUAGCUUGAAUUUCAGAGUCAAGAUGAACUCUCAUGGGAUGGACAAAAUGGAAGAUGUAAAUAAGUAAGUUUUUCAGAGCUAAAAAGCCUCUUUUAUACAAAAUUAAACUUAAAACAACAUUAAUCGUCUUGGAUAUAUUAUAAAAAUAGCAGUAUAAAUAGCACUAUACCCACAGUAAACAUCUAUGGCUACCCAGCCUGUCAUACCUCAUUAAUUAUAGGCCUUACUCUGAAUGCUUCUUGUUCUAUCUUUGUAUUCCCACCAGCCAAAGAGUUCUUAACAACUUUAUUUCUUAGGAAAUACUUUUUUUUUUUUUUUUUAAAUUUUUAUUUAUUUAUGAUAGUCACACACACAGAGAGAGAGAGAGAGGCAGAGACACAGGCAGAGGGAGAAACAGGCUCCAUGCACCGGGAGCCCGAUGUGGGAUUCGAUCCCGGGUCUCCAGGAUUGCGCCCUGGGCCAAAGGCAGGCACCAAACCGCUGCGCCACCCAGGGAUCCCCCUUAGGAAAUACUUUUUAUUUUUAACAUUAUAACACUAAAUAUAAUUUUAUAAACUAUAAAUUCCCAUAUCUGCAAUGCUAAUAUAAUUUGUGGAGGGAGAAAAUGCCUUUCUCUCCUAUUCCUGAAAAUCACGGACUACUCCUUAAGAAUUUGAGUAACAACAACAACAACAACAACAACAACAAAAGAAUUUGAGUAACAACCCCCUACUCAGUCCCUAAAAUUAAAAAGCCUGCUCACCUCCAAAAUAGAUAAAAAAUGUGUUGAAUUGGUAGCUGACGAGAAUUCUUUGUAACCAGAACUGUGUGAUGGCUAAUGCUUAACAUUAAAUAAAUCAUUAUACAAAAUUGGUUCCUUAUAAUUUUAACUAUUAUUAUGAGUUUUAUUCAGUAAAAUUCUAAGUUAUGCUACUGUAAUGUAUCUGUUGAUCAAUGAAAGGCAGUAACAAAACUAUGUCACGAAUUACUAAGUUUAUACAUACGUAAAAGUUUUUACCUCUGCAGUGUAAUUCCUAUGUUUGGCAAUACCAUCUACCUAAAUUCUGGUGUAUGUUUAAAAAUAAAAGUUUUAUUUCUUUUUAAAUAUUCUA